rnacentral:rRNA from 1 species
GACGGAGGAUGCAAGUGUUAUCCGGAAUCACUGGGCGUAAAGCGUCUGUAGGUCGUUCAAUAAGUCAACUGUUAAAUCUUGAGGCUCAACUUCAAAAUCGCAGUCGAAACUAUUAAACUAGAGUAUAGUAGGGGUAAAGGGAAUUUCCAGUGGAGCGGUGAAAUGCGUAGAGAUUGGAAAGACCACCGAUGGCGAAGGCACUCUACUGGGCCAUUACUGACACUGAGAGACGAAAGCUAGGGGAGCAAAUGGG